UACGUAGGGACCAAGCGUUGUCCGGAAUCAUUGGGCGUAAAGAGCGUGUAGGCGGCUUGUUAAGUCUUGCGUGAAAUCUCGGGGCUCAACCCCGAGCGGUCGUGAGAAACUGGCAGGCUAGAGUGCGGGAGAGGGAAGCGGAAUUCCGGGUGUAGCGGUGAAAUGCGCAGAUAUCCGGAGGAACACCGGUGGCGAAGGCGGCUUCCUGGACCGACACUGACGCUGAGGCGCGAAAGCUAGGGGAGCAAACGGG
rnacentral:rRNA from 1 species